rnacentral:rRNA from 1 species
UACAGAGGGUGCGAGCGUUGUUCGGAAUUACUGGGCGUAAAGCGCACGUAGGCGGCUUUGUAAGUUAGAGGUGAAAGCCCAGGGCUCAACCCUGGAAUUGCCUUUAAGACUGCAUCGCUUGAAUCAUGGAGAGGUGAGUGGAAUUCCGAGUGUAGAGGUGAAAUUCGUAGAUAUUCGGAAGAACACCAGUGGCGAAGGCGACUCACUGGACAUGUAUUGACGCUGAGGUGCGAAAGCGUGGGGAGCAAACAGG